UCAGCUUUGAGAUAAACUUAAGAGAUAUUUUCGGACUUCUGUCACGUUUUCAAUUCACAAUGCUCUAUCACUUUCAAUGAAAACGCAGCGAAGAUAAAUUAUAAAUUUCUCUAUGCAUUACAAAAGUCAUUUCCACACAUUUUCAUGACAUCAAAUACUGCCUAAGAAGUGGCAAUUUACAUACGAGCCAAAACUCAACAAUACGAGUGAUGUGGCAAGCUGCAAACAAAGAAGAUCUGAACAAAAAGUCCUAUGCACUUGCCACGCCCCCUUUCGGGGGCUCAAAGUCGGAGCCCAGCUCCCAGCUUUAAGAUGACAUCAGUGGCAGCAGAUACCAUUGACAGAGCUAUCCACAUACAAAGUCUAACAAUGCACUGGGCAAUUAACGUAGCGCUGCAUGUGGAAAAACAUAUUAUUAGCAAAUGUCAACUAUUGGAUGCGCUUUAAAAUAUGCACAGAUAUGGCAGGGAUCGUCCUAUAUGGUGACUUU
ensembl:ncRNA lncRNA:CR46053 long non-coding RNA:CR46053